rnacentral:rRNA from 1 species
AUUGAACGCUGGCGGCAGGCCUAACACAUGCAAGUCGAGCGGAUGAAGGGAGCUUGCUCCUGGAUUCAGCGGCGGACGGGUGAGUAAUGCCUAGGAAUCUGCCUGGUAGUGGGGGAUAACGUCCGGAAACGGGCGCUAAUACCGCAUACGUCCUGAGGGAGAAAGUGGGGGAUCUUCGGACCUCACGCUAUCAGAUGAGCCUAGGUCGGAUUAGCUAGUUGGUGGGGUAAAGGCCUACCAAGGCGACGAUCCGUAACUGGUCUGAGAGGGUGAUCAGUCAAAAUGGGAACUGGAAACGGGCCAGAACCCCUAGGGGGGCAAGCGGGGGGAAAAUUGGGAAAUGGGGGGAAGCCUGAUCCCACCCUACCGCGGGGUUGGAAAAAGGCUUUGGGUUUUAAAAGCCUUUUAAGUGGGGAGAAAGGGAGGAAGUUAAAACCCUGGUGUUUUGACGGUACCCAAAAAAAAAACCACGGCUAAAUUCGGG